GAUUUGAUGUUUAUUACAGUUGAUGAAAAUCUUAGAUGCCCAGACCCUGAGCGACAAAUAAAUAAUGCCAUUUUGAAAGAGCAAAUCUGAAGAAAUAAUAUCAGGAAGGCAGCACAGUACAAUACAAGUGUAAAGCAGGCUAUUACUUUGAAAAUGGGCUCCAAGCCACAUGUUUAGCAGGAAAAUGGGAUUACCCACAAUGCAUAUCAUUGGGUGAAAAUCUUAGAUGUCGAGACCCUAAACGAGUGAUAAAUAAUGCAAUUCUGAGGAGAAUAAAUCUGAAGGCGUACUAUCAGGAAGGUGGCGCAGUACAAUACAAGUGCAAAGAGGGGUAUUACUUGGAAAAUGGGCCCCUAGCCACAUGCACUGGAGGAAAAUGGAAUUACCCACAAUGCAUACCAUUAGUUGAAACUCUUAGAUGCCCAAACCCAGAGCAAGAAAUAAAUAAUGCAAUUAUAAAGAGAAUUCAUCCAAAAGCAUACUAUCUGGAAGGUGCCACAGUACAGUACAAGUGUAAAGCAGGCUAUAACUUUGAAAAUGGGCCCCAAGCCACAUGUUUCAGAGGAAAAUGGGAUUACCCACAAUGCAUAAUGUUUGUUGAAAACGUUAAAUGCCCAAAGCCCGAGAGACAAAUAAAUAACGCAUUUCUGUAUAGAGCAUAUCAAAGGGCAUACUAUCUGGAAGGUGCCACAGUACAGUACAAGUGUAAAGCAGGCUAUAACUUUGAAAAUGGGCCCCAAGCCACAUGUUUCAGAGGAAAAUGGGAUUACCCACAAUGUAUACCAUUGGCUCAAAACCCUAAAUGUCCAGACCCUGAGCGACAAAUAAAUAAUGGCAUUUUAAAAAAAGGAAAUCUAAAGGCGUACUAUCAGGAAGGCAGCACAAUACUAUACAAGUGUAAAGAAGGAUUUUACUUUGAAAAUGGCCCCGAAGCCACAUGCUCUGCAGGACAAUGGAUUUACCCACGAUGUCUUCAAUAAUCCAUCGGAAAUUGAAACAUUACUCAAGGAACAAUCAUUGCUGAAGUCAAAGAAAUGUACAUAAAUAAUGGUCAAUCGAAAAUAUUUCAUAAACAGAUCAAAAAUAUAUUUGUAGCUAAAGUGCUUUAAUGG